CCUACGGGAGGCAGCAGUGAGGAAUAUUGGUCCAUGGACGAGAGUCUGAACCAGCCAAGUAGCGUGAAGGAUGACUGCCCUAUGGGUUGUAAACUUCUUUUAUAUGGGAAUAAAAUGUUCCACGUGUGGGAUUUUGUAUGUACCAUAUGAAUAAGGAUCGGCUACCUCCGUGCCAGCAGCCGCGGUAAUACGGAGGAUCCGAGCGUUAUCCGGAUUUAUUGGGUUUAAAGGGAGCGUAGGUGGAUUGUUAAGUCAGUUGUGAAAGUUUGCGGCUCAACCGUAAAAUUGCAGUUGAAACUGGCAGUCUGGAGUACAGUAGAGGUGGGCGGAAUUCGUGGUGUAGCGGUGAAAUGCUUAGAUAUCACGAAGAACUCCGAUUGCGAAGGCAGCUCACUGGACUGCAACUGACACUGAGGCUCGAAAGUGUGGGUAUCAAACAGGAUUAGAUACCCCUGUAGUC
rnacentral:rRNA from 1 species